UCUUUUAAUUGAAGGCUGGUAUGAAUGGUUGGACGAGACAUUAACUGUUUCAGAUUAAAUCUUAGAAUUUUAUUUUCAGUUAAAAAGCUAAAAUUUUAUUAAAAGACGAGAAGACCCUAUAGAUCUUUAUAAAUUAUAAGUUAAAUUUAUAUAGAAAAUUUAAAAUUUAAUUUAAAAAUUUAUUUUAUUGGGGUGAUAAUAAGAUUUAAAAAACUCUUAUAAGUUAUAACAUAAAUUUAUGAAAAAUUGAUCCACUAUUAGUGAUUAUUAGAUUAAGUUACCUUAGGGAUAACAGCGUAAUUUUUUUAGAGAGUUCAUAUCGAUAAAAAAGAUUGC
rnacentral:rRNA from 1 species